rnacentral:rRNA from 1 species
ACUCAAAUGAAUUGACGGGAACCUGCACAAACGGAGGAUUAUGGGGAUUAAUUCGAUGCAACGCGAAGAACCUUACCAGGGAUUGACAUGUCUAGAAUUUCUCAGAAAUGGGAAAGUGCUAUACUUAUUUAAGAAGUAUAGAGCUAGAACACAGGUGGUGCAUGGCUGUCGUCAGCUCGUGCGUUGACGUGUAUGGUUCAGUCCUGCAACGAGCGCAACCCUCGUCCUUAGUUACCUUUUAGGUUCUCUAAGGAGACUGCGCGCGCAAGCGCUGAGGAAGGUGAGGAUGACGUCAAGUCAGCAUGCCCCUUACACCCUGGGCGUCACCCGUAAUACAAUGGUUGGGACAAUCAGAUGCUACCCCGCGAGGGCACGCAAAUCUGCUAAACUCAACCCCAGUUCGGAUUGUAGGCUGCAACUCGCCUACAUGAAGCCGGAUUCGUUAGUAAUCGCCGAUCAGCCAAGCGGCGGUGAAUACGUUCCCAGGUUUUGUACACACCGCCCGU